ensembl:lncRNA
AUGCCUGAGGAAGGAACUCAAGUUCUCAGCUCUUAAUUACCUCUGGCUGCGCUGCAGCAGCAAGGGCGAGAGAGAUCGUCCCUGGAAAAGUGUUGCGGGCGUUGAAAUAACAAACGAGGAGUCGGCUGGGGGCGGGGUGGGGUGGGUCUCGCGCGCCCCCAGAGAGACCCCCGAGACAGGCGAUGGGGGGAGGGAGAGGAGACCAGACAACACUGCAGAGAGACGCGGCAGAAAGCUAAAGCGGGAGGAAAGAGAACAAAAGACGCAAGGAGAGGAAGUCAAGAAAAGUCGGGGAUAAGGGAGGAGAAAGUUUGAGAAAGGGGGCGAGAAAGCAAGCAAGGACGGUGUAAGACUAGAGGAGACCGAGAAAGAUAGGGAACUGAAAGAACUCGGAGAAUUCGAGAACGAGGAGGAAAUAGGAAAAAAGACGGAGAUAGAAGCGGAGGGAAAGAGGGAAGGGGAGAGGGGAGGAUGUCGGACAGAACAGAGGGACCGGGCUGACGAGGAGGCGGGUGAGGGGUCCCGGGAGGACGCGCGCGCAUCACCUGCGUGGCGCCCCCCGCGCGCCGCGGUGCGGCCCGGCUCCCAGCGCCCGAGCGCCGCGGCUCGCCCAGCCUCGGGGAGGAUUGGCUCCCGCCUCCCAUUCAUGUAGCCUGCGUGUGUGCGUGUGUACGUGUGUGUGUGUGUGUGUGUGUGUGUGUGUGUGUGUGUGUGUGUGUGUGUCUCGCUCGCCCUCUCUGUGUGUAAGAGAGCGAGGGUGGGGGACGGAGGCAGGCAGGCGAGCAGGCGGGGAGGGGAAGACGAGGAGGGAAGCUAUUAAACACACACACACACUCACACACACACACACGCGCGCGCGCGCGCACACCCCCGCCCCAACACCCCCCUCCGCGCCCCCCCACCCCCACCCCAAGCCUCGGGAUUGCAGCUGUUUAAUGUGGGCCAGCAGUGCUGGCAGGGACGCCGGCCGGGAGCGGCCGGGAGCGGCGGCCGGGCGUGCGCGCGCGGCUGGAGACUCACUGGGGCUCCGCUCCCUGCGGGAGCUAUUGUUGGUCUCACUGGAGCUGAGCGCGGAGCCGGGACCUGCUCCUUCCUGGGCGCCUGCCUGCUCGGGCACGCGGAGCCGCGGAGCCCCGCCGCCUAGAGUGAGAGGAGCCACCGGUGCGGCGUCUCGCCUCUCUGCCGCCCUCCUCCUCGCUUCCCCGGCGGCGGCAGCCUGCAGCCACGGUGUGAUAUACAGUGAGAAAAGGGCCUCCUUCGAGGUGAGCACUCCACCCAGGGAGAAUGCAGGAAAGGGAUGACUUAAUCUGCCUGAGAGCCACCAAG